GCUCCAUCUACCUACUUAUUACACAUUCAAUCUGCAUUUAAAUUCUCUCAGUUCCCAAAGACAACCAGACGUGUAAGGGAACAUUUGGCAUGAAAUGAUGCUGUUGCACAAGUUUUAGAAUGUGGCUUUUCAAAUGCAGAACAGAUAAGACACUGUAUGAGCAUGAAUUCAACGUUGCUGUGCUCACCAAUGGUUAAAUGUCUCAUCUAAUUUGGAGCAGCAGGAACAUGUGCUGCUAAUUUCACUCUGAAUGCAGGAUUAUGUGCCUUCAGUUACUGGUUGGGUGCAGCAGUCCUCUCAGAAAUGUCUCUUCCAUAUCUUUUUGCAUCGUUUAGCGCUGGCUGCAUACUUUUGCAGCUCGCAGCAGAUAUGAUACACUACAGAUAUACUACAACACUACACCAAGUUAUUGGUGUAGCAGCAGAACUGCAUGUACACAGGAAUAAGACUACACUGAUGGUAGUCAGAAAAAGGGUAUAAAAUUACUUGGGUUUGGGAUGGGUCAGUGGGGAUCACACCGAGAGUCCCAGGAUCUCAUGACUUAUUAAGUAAAGGAGGCUGACGGUGAAGGUGUAGCUCUUUCAGCUCUGCCCUGAAACCUCUUCUCUCUGUGGUCACAGCCUGUCCCCCAAAACUGAAAAAUGGCAAAUGCGCAAGUUCCUGUUGCUACGGUCGAUCCACUGGAAGACAGCCCAGUUCAGAUCGCCUGCCCUAACUGCCAUCAGAUAGUCCUCUCCAAGGUGGACUACGCUGCUGGAUUGCUCACUUACCUUUUUCUGCGGAGGGCUCUUCUUCUGUGGCUUUGUUUUAGGCUGCUGCCUCAUCCCAUUCUGUGUGGACCGUCUGAAGGAUGCCAAGCACACCUGUCCUGUCUGCAAGACUGUACUUGGGGUGUAUAAACGCUUAUAACUCAAAGACCUGCAUCAAUUUAUACAUGGCAUUUUGCAAAUAAAAGACACUUACAAAAGGUCACACUAAUCAACAUUUCCUUAUAACUGAAUAACUGAUAAUCUUGUGACUAAUUUGCUGUUGGUGUACAUAUGAAACCUUUGAAUAUUAAAACACUGACACCAAGCAAAUAACGAGCUCUGAUGACUGUUUUAAGGCUGUUUAAUAUGUGUUUAUUAUUAAUCUCUCAAAUACAUUUUCAUAGUAAGACUGAAUAAAGAAAGUGCUAUCAUGAAAACUGUUA